rnacentral:rRNA from 1 species
UAAGUUAUUAAGGGCGCACGGUGGAUGCCUUGGCACUAGAAGCCGAUGAAGGACGUUACUAACGACGAUAUGCUUUGGGGAGCUGUAAGUAAGCUUUGAUCCAGAGAUUUCCGAAUGGGGAAACCCAGCAUGAGUUAUGUCAUGUUAUCGAUAUGUGAAUACAUAGCAUAUCAGAAGGCACACCCGGAGAACUGAAACAUCUUAGUACCCGGAGGAAGAGAAAGAAAAUUCGAUUCCCUUAGUAGCGGCGAGCGAAACGGGAAGAGCCCAAACCAACAAGCUUGCUUGUUGGGGUUGUAGGACACUCUAUACGGAGUUACAAAGGACGACAUUAGACGAAUCAUCUGGAAAGAUGAAUCAAAGAAGGUAAUAAUCCUGUAGUCGAAAAUGUUGUCUCUCUUGAGUGGAUCCUGAGUACGACGGAGCACGUGAAAUUCCGUCGGAAUCUGGGAGGACCAUCUCCUAAGGCUAAAUACUCUCUAGUGACCGAUAGCGAACCAGUACCGUGAGGGAAAGGUGAAAAGCACCCCGGAAGGGGAGUGAAAUAGAACCUGAAACCGUGUGCUUACAAGUAGUCAGAGCCCGUUAAUGGGUGAUGGCGUGCCUUUUGUAGAAUGAACCGGCGAGUUACGAUUUGAUGCAAGGUUAAGCAGUAAAUGUGGAGCCGUAGCGAAAGCGAGUCUGAAUAGGGCGUUUAGUAUUUGGUCGUAGACCCGAAACCAGGUGAUCUACCCUUGGUCAGGUUGAAGUUCAGGUAACACUGAAUGGAGGACCGAACCGACUUACGUUGAAAAGUGAGCGGAUGAACUGAGGGUAGCGGAGAAAUUCCAAUCGAACCUGGAGAUAGCUGGUUCUCUCCGAAAUAGCUUUAGGGCUAGCCUCAAGUGAUGAUUAUUGGAGGUAGAGCACUGUUUGGACGAGGGGCCCCUCUCGGGUUACCGAAUUCAGACAAACUCCGAAUGCCAAUUAAUUUAACUUGGGAGUCAGAACAUGGGUGAUAAGGUCCGUGUUCGAAAGGGAAACAGCCCAGACCACCAGCUAAGGUCCCAAAAUAUAUGUUAAGUGGAAAAGGAUGUGGCGUUGCCCAGACAACUAGGAUGUUGGCUUAGAAGCAGCCAUCAUUUAAAGAGUGCGUAAUAGCUCACUAGUCGAGUGACACUGCGCCGAAAAUGUACCGGGGCUAAACAUAUUACCGAAGCUGUGGAUUGUCCUUUGGACAAUGGUAGGAGAGCGUUCUAAGGGCGUUGAAGCAUGAUCGUAAGGACAUGUGGAGCGCUUAGAAGUGAGAAUGCCGGUGUGAGUAGCGAAAGACGGGUGAGAAUCCCGUCCACCGAUUGACUAAGGUUUCCAGAGGAAGGCUCGUCCGCUCUGGGUUAGUCGGGUCCUAAGCUGAGGCCGACAGGCGUAGGCGAUGGAUAACAGGUUGAUAUUCCUGUACCACCUAUAAUCGUUUUAAUCGAUGGGGGGACGCAGUAGGAUAGGCGAAGCGUGCGAUUGGAUUGCACGUCUAAGCAGUAAGGCUGAGUAUUAGGCAAAUCCGGUACUCAUUAAGGCUGAGCUGUGAUGGGGAGAAGACAUUGUGUCUUCGAGUCGUUGAUUUCACACUGCCGAGAAAAGCCUCUAGAUAGAAAAUAGGUGCCCGUACCGCAAACCGACACAGGUAGUCAAGAUGAGAAUUCUAAGGUGAGCGAGCGAACUCUCGUUAAGGAACUCGGCAAAAUGACCCCGUAACUUCGGGAGAAGGGGUGCUCUUUAGGGUUAACGCCCAGAAGAGCCGCAGUGAAUAGGCCCAAGCGACUGUUUAUCAAAAACACAGGUCUCUGCUAAACCGUAAGGUGAUGUAUAGGGGCUGACGCCUGCCCGGUGCUGGAAGGUUAAGAGGAGUGGUUAGCUUCUGCGAAGCUACGAAUCGAAGCCCCAGUAAACGGCGGCCGUAACUAUAACGGUCCUAAGGUAGCGAAAUUCCUUGUCGGGUAAGUUCCGACCCGCACGAAAGGCGUAACGAUUUGGGCACUGUCUCAACGAGAGACUCGGUGAAAUCAUAGUACCUGUGAAGAUGCAGGUUACCCGCGACAGGACGGAAAGACCCCGUGGAGCUUUACUGUAGCCUGAUAUUGAAAUUCGGCACAGCUUGUACAGGAUAGGUAGGAGCCUUUGAAACGUGAGCGCUAGCUUACGUGGAGGCGCUGGUGGGAUACUACCCUAGCUGUGUUGGCUUUCUAACCCGCACCACUUAUCGUGGUGGGAGACAGUGUCAGGCGGGCAGUUUGACUGGGGCGGUCGCCUCCUAAAAGGUAACGGAGGCGCUCAAAGGUUCCCUCAGAAUGGUUGGAAAUCAUUCAUAGAGUGUAAAGGCAUAAGGGAGCUUGACUGCGAGACCUACAAGUCGAGCAGGGUCGAAAGACGGACUUAGUGAUCCGGUGGUUCCGCAUGGAAGGGCCAUCGCUCAACGGAUAAAAGCUACCCCGGGGAUAACAGGCUUAUCUCCCCCAAGAGUUCACAUCGACGGGGAGGUUUGGCACCUCGAUGUCGGCUCAUCGCAUCCUGGGGCUGUAGUCGGUCCCAAGGGUUGGGCUGUUCGCCCAUUAAAGCGGUACGCGAGCUGGGUUCAGAACGUCGUGAGACAGUUCGGUCCCUAUCCGUCGUGGGCGUAGGAAAUUUGAGAGGAGCUGUCCUUAGUACGAGAGGACCGGGAUGGACAUACCUCUGGUGUACCAGUUGUCGUGCCAACGGCAUAGCUGGGUAGCUAUGUGUGGACGGGAUAAGUGCUGAAAGCAUCUAAGCAUGAAGCCCCCCUCAAGAUGAGAUUUCCCAACUUCGGUUAUAAGAUCCCUCAAAGAUGAUGAGGUUAAUAGGUUCGAGGUGGAAGCAUGGUGACAUGUGGAGCUGACGAAUACUAAUCGAUCGAAGACUUAAUCA